UGGGUUGUAGCUCAGUGAUAGAGCACUUGUCUGGCACAUGUGAGACACUGGGUUCCAUCCUCAGCACCACAU
rnacentral:tRNA from 1 species